rnacentral:rRNA from 1 species
AAAGAUGUGCUAAUACCGCAUAAACUCCAUGGAGAAAAGCAGGGGAUCUUAGGACCUUGCGCUAAAGGAGCGGCCGAUGCCUGAUUAGCUAGUUGGUGGGGUAAAAGCCUACCAAGGCUACGAUCAGUAGUUGGUCUGAGAGGACGACCAACCACACUGGGACUGAGACACGGCCCAGACUCCUACGGGAGGCAGCAGUGGGGAAUUUUGGACAAUGGGCGAAAGCCUGAUCCAGCCAUGCCGCGUGAGUGAAGAAGGCCUUCGGGUUGUAAAGCUCUUUCAGUCGGAAAGAAACGAUUGCGACUAAUACUUGCAAUUAAUGACGGUACCGACAGAAGAAGCACCGGCUAACUACGUGCCAGCAGCCGCGGUAAUACGUAGGGUGCGAGCGUUAAUCGGAAUUACUGGGCGUAAAGGGUGCGCAGGCGGUUUUGUAAGUCAGAUGUGAAAUCCCCGGGCUUAACCUGGGAAUUGCGUUUGAAACUGCAAGGCUAGAGUGCAGCAGAGGGGAGUGGAAUUCCACGUGUAGCAGUGAAAUGCGUAGAGAUGUGGAAGAACACCGAUGGCGAAGGCAGCUCCCUGGGUUAGCACUGACGCUCAUGCACGAUAGCGUGGGGAGCAAACAGGAUUAGAUACCCUGUUAGUCCACGCCCUAAACGAUGUCAACUAGUUGUCGGAUCCUAAUUAAGGAUUUGGUAACGUNUCUAACGCGUGAAAGUUUGACCCGCCUGGGGAGUACGGUUCGCCAAGAAUUAAAACUCAAAGGAAAUUGACGUGGGACCCGCACAAGCCGGUGUAUU